ACAAAGCAACAGCUUAGCAAUGCGAAGGUGUAGCCUUACCUCUUCAUGGGAGUAAAGCCAUCGCCUGGAAAUAAGCGACGAGGAAGGUCAGACUUGUCCAAUUAGCACCAGAGAGCUUUGUAUAGUUCCCCUCCAUGUUAGUCCACCGAGUGAAAGGUGUUGCCCCAGUGUCUUCUGUACAGCUGAUUGAACGUCUGCGGCUGCUUGUCAAGCUCCUCCACUGCAUUCCAGAUGUUGAGGACCUGGUUCUUCUGCUCAGUGCAGGCACACAGCUGCUGACAAAGGCCACAGGGUGAACAAUGGAGGUUUCACUGCUGGUGAGCGUGAUGUGGGGCAGGAUGGCAUUCAGCACACGGUCAUGUCUCGUCUGCCUCUGGAUCUGGAUCGGGCUGCCCGGCUGGAGCACCUCCUCCUCUGGACCAGGUCCAUCACUGACAAUGUCCUGAAGAGAGAGGGCCCCAGAAUCACCAGUCCUCUGGCUGAAGGGGUACUCCAACCCGAGGAGCUCAUUCAAAGGGACAUCAGCAGGGGCCCUGAAAUUCUUGUCCACAGUGUCUCUAAGCAGCUGCCGACAGCAGGUGAUGAGGUGAGGCGGUCAAUCAUGCCAACAUGUUUCACAGUGUGGACAGACAACAUCGUCAUCUGAGACAGACUUCAGUGUUCAGCUCCUGGCCUUUGCGGUUUAGGCCAGCACUGCACCCAGCUAUCACAGACUUGAAUGUAUUGUAACUGUCUAGAUUUUAUCACCUACCAGUUUUUAAUUACCAAAGCAAACAAACACAUUUAGCUGAAGUGAUUAACAUAUCACUAAUUUGAGCAAUUUUCAUUUAUUCUGCUAUUCUGCGCUUCCUG